rnacentral:rRNA from 1 species
UGGGGAAUAUUGGACAAUGGGCGAAAGCCUGAUCCAGCAAUGCCGCGUGAGUGAUGAAGGCCUUAGGGUUGUAAAGCUCUUUUACCCGGGAAGAUAAUGACUGUACCGGGAGAAUAAGCCCCGGCUAACUCCGUGCCAGCAGCCGCGGUAAUACGGAGGGGGCUAGCGUUGUUCGGAAUUACUGGGCGUAAAGCGCACGUAGGCGGCUUUGUAAGUUAGAGGUGAAAGCCUGGUGCUCAACACCAGAACUGCCUUUAAGACUGCAUCGCUUGAAUCAUGGAGAGGCGGGUGGAAUUCCGAGUGUAGAGGUGAAAUUCGUAGAUAUUCGGAAGAACACCAGUGGCGAAGGCGGCCCGCUGGACAUGUAUUGACGCUGAGGUGCGAAAGCGUGGGGAGCAAACAGG